rnacentral:misc_RNA from 1 species
AAGACUAUAGACCUGCGGAGUACCUGCGGAGGGAUCAUUACAUGGCGGAGAAGGUGGGCAACCUGGCCAACAUCCAGGUUGUGAUGCCUUCACGCUCUUCCACCCUUGUCUAUUUGCACCUUCUGUCGUUCCCUCGGCGGGUUUCGACCCGCCGGCGGCAACAUUGAAAAACCCUUUUUGCAGUUAGCAUUCAAUUCUUCUGAUCAAAUAUUAAAUCAUUACAACUUUCAGCAAUGGAUC